rnacentral:rRNA from 1 species
UACGGAGGGUGCAAGCGUUAAUCGGAAUUACUGGGCGUAAAGCGUGCGCAGGCGGUUUGCUAAGACAGGUGUGAAAUCCCCGGGCUUAACCUGGGAACUGCGCUUGUAACUGGCAAGCUUGAGUGUGGCAGAGGGGGGUGGAAUUCCACGUGUAGCAGUGAAAUGCGUAGAGAUGUGGAGGAACACCGAUGGCGAAGGCAGCCCCCUGGGCUAACACUGACGCUCAUGCACGAAAGCGUGGGGAGCAAACAGG